GUGGGGAAUUUUGGACAAUGGGGGCAACCCUGAUCCAGCAAUGCCGCGUGCAGGAAGAAGGCCUUCGGGUUGUAAACUGCUUUUGUACGGAACGAAACGGUCUGGGUUAAUACCCUGGGCUAAUGACGGUACCGUAAGAAUAAGCACCGGCUAACUACGUGCCAGCAGCCGCCGUAAUACGUAGGGUGCGAGCGUUAAUCGGAAUUACUGGGCGUAAAGCGUGCGCAGGCGGUUUUGUAAGACAGGCGUGAAAUCCCCGGGCUCAACCUGGGAGUGGCGCUUGGGACUGCAAAGCUGGAGUGCGGCAGAGGGGGAUGGAAUUCCGCGUGUAGCAGUGAAAUGCGUAGAUAUGCGGAGGAACACCGAUGGCGAAGGCAAUCCCCUGGGCCUGCACUGACGCUCAUGCACGAAAGCGUGGGGAGCAAACAGGAUUAGAAACCCUUGUAGUCC
rnacentral:rRNA from 1 species